rnacentral:rRNA from 3 species
AAUCCAUAGGUUAAUGAGGCGAACCGGGGGAACUGAAACAUCUAAGUACCCCGAGGAAAAGAAAUCAACCGAGAUUCCCCCAGUAGCGGCGAGCGAACGGGGAGGAGCCCAGAGCCUGAAUCAGCAUGUGUGUUAGUGGAAGCGUCUGGAAAGGCGCGCGAUACAGGGUGACAGCCCCGUACACAAAAGCGCAUGUGCUGUGAGCUCGAUGAGUAGGGCGGGACACGUGGUAUCCUGUCUGAAUAUGGGGGGACCAUCCUCCAAGGCUAAAUACUCCUGACUGACCGAUAGUGAACCAGUACCGUGAGGGAAAGGCGAAAAGAACCCCGGCGAGGGGAGUGAAAAAGAACCUGAAACCGUGUACGUACAAGCAGUGGGAGCACCCUUUGGGGUGUGACUGCGUACCUUUUGUAUAAUGGGUCAGCGACUUAUAUUCUGUAGCAAG